AUCGCCUCUCGGCCUUUUGGCUAAGAUCAAGUGUAGUAUCUGUUCUUAUCAGUAAAAUAUGAGCUCCAAAAAGGAAGGAACUUUGUUCUGUUGGCUGCUCUUCUCAGUUUCUUAAAUAGUGCCUGGCAUAUAGUAGGAACUUAGAAAAUUAUUAAUUAUU
rnacentral:snRNA from 1 species